CAACACCACAGACCCUGAAACCUCGCGUUUCAACAUAAACCCUAUUUCCUCCUUUCUCCGCCACCAUUUCCUCCUCCUGCAAAUCUGUGAUGAUAGAGAUAGACAGGGACAUCUGCACAGCCUUGUUUGGGUGAUUGAUGACUCAGUCUAAAAUGGGAAUCUCUCUGAUGCUUUGGUUGUAUUGAGUUUCUAUGAAUUUUUGGUUGGUUUACUGCAACAUAGAUCAGUGCAAGUGAUGACAGAAAUAGACAGGGACUCUGCACUCCCAUCUCUGGGUGUUUGAUGACUUCGUCUUUAAUGGGAAUCUCUCUGAUGCACAAUAUAGGUUUCAUUUAUCCAAAUAUCAUCUAAUAAAUUAUAAUAUAUGGAAACAGCACCUUUUGUCAAAUAUAUAUUAAAAUAUUACCAUUUCGGUGUACGGCAUUAUGAGAUAAGAAGGCAUGUUUGGGAAAACGUCUCUUGCGAACAUUGUAAUGAGGCGCUUUAUGUGAGAGAUUAAUGUAUUAUUGUA